UUCGCAAUGCCCGAAAGGGUGACGAAGCGACGCCGCGUGUGGGAAGAAGGCCUUCGGGUUGUAAACCACUGUCGGGAGUUAAGAAAUGCAAGGAUAUGAAUAGUGUCUUUGCUUGACUAAGGCUCCGGAGGAAGCCACGGCUAACUCUGUGCCAGCAGCCGCGGUAAUACAGAGGCGGCAAGCGUUGUUCGGAAUUAUUGGGCGUAAAGAGCACGUAGGCGGCUAUGUAAGUCGGUUGUGAAAGCCUUCCGCUCAACGGAAGAACAGCAUCCGAUACUACAUGGCUUGAGUGCGGGAGGGGAGAGUGGAACUUCUGGUGGAGCGGUGAAAUGCGUAGAUAUCAGAAGGAACGCCGGCGGCGAAAGCGGCUCUCUGGCCCAUAACUGACGCUGAGUGUGCAAAAGCUAGGGGAGCAAACGGGAUUAGAUACCCCGGUAGUCCUAGCCGUAAACGAUGGGCACUAAGUAGAGGGGUUUU
rnacentral:rRNA from 1 species